AGUAAUACAUCGGAACGUGUCCUAUCUGGGGGAGUAACUGAUCGAAAGAUCAGCUAAUACCGCAUAAGACCUGAGGGUGAAAGUGGGGGAUCGCAAGACCUCACGCGAUUGGAGCGGCCGAUGCCCGAUUAGCUAGUUGGUGAGGUAAAGGCUCACCAAGGCGACGAUCGGUAGCUGGUCUGAGAGGACGACCAGCCACACUGGGACUGAGACACGGCCCAG
rnacentral:rRNA from 1 species